CACGUAGGGUGCGAGCGUUGUCCGGAAUUAUUGGGCGUAAAGAGCUCGUAGGCGGUGUGUCACGUCGGCCGUGAAAACCUGCAGCUUAACUGUGGGCGUGCGGUCGAUACGGGCAUCACUGGAGUUCGGCAGGGGAGACUGGAAUUCCUGGUGUAGCGGUGAAAUGCGCAGAUAUCAGGAGGAACACCGGUGGCGAAGGCGGGGUCUCUGGGCCGAUACUGACGCUGAGGAGCGAAAGCGUGGGGGAGCGAACAGG
rnacentral:rRNA from 1 species